GCUUGUCUCAAAGAUUAAGCCAAUACUUUAGUCACUAAAUCAGCUGCUUCUUUUAAUAAAAUUGCUGAGUAAACUUUCAAUCCUGAUUCAUCAAUUAAUUUUUUAGCUUCUUCAGCGUUAGUUCCUUGUAAACGUACGAUGAUUGGAACUCUGAUAUCGCCAAUUUCUUUAUAGGCAUCAAUUACACCCUGCGCUACUCUGUCGCAACGUACAAUACCACCAAAAAUGUUAAUUAAAAUCGCUUUUACGUUAGGAUCUUGCAAAAUAAUGUUGAAGGCCGCUUUUACAGUAGUUGCAUUAGCAGUACCACCAACAUCAAGGAAGGCAGCAGG
rnacentral:rRNA from 1 species